rnacentral:rRNA from 1 species
AGAGUUUGAUCCUGGCUCAGGAUGAACGCUGGCGGCGUGCCUAAUACAUGCAAGUCGAACGGACGUAGCAAUACGUUAGUGGCGACCGGGUGCGUAACACGUAGCUGACCUGCCCUUCAGCGGGGGACAACAUGCCGAAAGGCGUGCUAAUACCGCAUGGACUGGAGGUGACUAGAUAGCCUUCAGGAAACUUCCGGGGCUGAAGGAGGGGGCUGCGGCUCAUCAGGUAGUUGGUGAGGUAACGGCUCACCAAGCCGACGACGAGUAGGGGACCUGAGAGGGUGACCCCCCACACUGGAACUGACACACGGUCCAGACUCCUACGGGAGGCAGCAGUAAGGAAUAUUGGGCAAUGGGCGCAAGCCUGACCCAGCAACGCCGCGUGGAGGACGACGGUUCUCGGA